AGUGAACGCUGGCGGUAGGCCUAACACAUGCAAGUCGAACGGCAGCACAGUAAGAGCUUGCUCUUAAGGGUGGCGAGUGACGGACGGGUGAGGAAUACAUAAGAAUCUACUUUUACGGGGGGGAUAACGUAGGGAAACUUACGCUAAUACCGCAUACGACCAACGGGUGAAAGCAAGGGAUAUUCGGACCUUGCGCGAUUGAAUGAGCCGAUGUCGGAUUAGCUAGUUGGCGGGGUAACGGAACACCAAGGCGACGAUCCGUAGCUGGUCUGAGAGGAUGAUCAGCCACACUGGAACUGAGACACGGUCCAGACUCCUACGGGAGGCAGCAGUGGGGAAUAUUGGACAAUGGGCGCAAGCCUGACCCAGCCAUACCGCGUGGGUGAAGAAGGCCUUCGGGUUGUAAAGCCCUUUUGUUGGGGAAGAAAAGAAGCAGGUUAAUCCCCCGAUGUUCUGACGGUACCCAAAGAAUAAGCACCGGCUAACUUCGUG
rnacentral:rRNA from 1 species